ACAAUGAAACAAUUUUCUUCCCAUCUUUACCCUUCCCUACUCAUCUAAAUUACUUCGCUUCUGUUCCCCUGUUCUCCCCCAAAGUCAAUUCCCCUGUUAUCCAUCACCCAAAUCUCUCUCGUCCUAACUCUCUUCUCAGAAACCCCAAAUCUCUCUCUUCCUAACUCUCUUCUCAGAAACCCAAUUAUCUCAAUCCCUCAGAGACCUCAAACCCAACCCCAACCCCAACCGUCCAUCCACCUCGCUCCAAUCAAUCACAGACGUCCAUGACCUCCUCCCCAAGUACGGCCUCCCAAGGGGUCUGUUACCCGACAACGUAAGAUCGUACACUCUCUCUGACGAUGGAACCUUCGAGAUCUAUCUCGAAAACCCGUGUUAUGUUCACUUUGAUCAGUUGGUGUACUACAAUAAGAACAUUAAAGGGAAGCUGAGUUUCGGCUCUGUUUCCGAUGUGUCGGGGAUUCAAGCCAAGAAGCUAUUUAUUUGGGUUUCCGUGACGGGGAUGCAUAUGGAGCAAGGGUCUGAUUCAGUUGAGUUUUACGUUGGGGCUCUGUCCGAGAAAUUGCCUGCUAAACAGUUCGAGGACAUUCCUGUAUGUAAGAGCAAGGCUUGCCGAGGAGGAGCUAGUGUUGAGUCAAUGUGAGGUAGAAAUAACUAAAAUGGAGUUGGCAUUUGAAGAAGAAUAAAGUGUGCAUAUGUCUCUAUCUGUUGCAAGAAUUUUAUGCUUGUUGCUCUCAAGUUCUCUCCACACAAGUGGCCUACAGAAGCAAAUAUAUGUGCAUAUGAAUUUCUUGUUAGUUGCCACAAAAAGAAAUAAUGCAUUGUUAUUUCCUCUGUGUGCCAACUACAGGCACUGAUCUACACCGUAUGAAUUAUAAGUAAAUACUAGAAUUUGUCCCCACGCGUGUUUUGGAUUGAAA